rnacentral:rRNA from 1 species
CUCUGUGACUCCUACGGGAGGCAGCAGUGGGGAAUAUUGCACAAUGGGGGAAACCCUGAUGCAGCCAUGCCGCGUGUGUGAAGAAGGCCUUCGGGUUGUAAAGCACUUUCAGUAGGGAGGAAGGUAGUGUAGUUAACACCUGCACUAUUUGACGUUACCUACAGAAGAAGCACCGGCUAACUCCGUGCCAGCAGCCGCGGUAAUACGGAGGGUGCGAGCGUUAAUCGGAAUUACUGGGCGUAAAGCGCAUGCAGGCGGCCUGUUAAGUCAGAUGUGAAAGCCCGGGGCUUAACCUCGGAAUUGCAUUUGAAACUGGCAGGCUAGAGUCUUGUAGAGGGGGUAGAAUUUCAGGUGUAGCGGUGAAAUGCGUAGAGAUCUGAAGGAAUACCAGUGGCGAAGGCGGCCCCCUGGACAAAGACUGACGCUCAGAUGCGAAAGCGUGGGGAGCAAACAGGAUUAGAUACCCUGGUGG